rnacentral:rRNA from 1 species
CUACGGGAUGCACCAGUGGGGAAUAUUGCACAAUGGACGAAAGUCUGAUGCAGCAACGCCGCGUGGAGGAUGACACAUUUCGGUGCGUAAACUCCUUUUAUAUAGGAAGAUAAUGACGGUACUAUAUGAAUAAGCACCGGCUAACUCCGUGCCAGCAGCCGCGGUAAUACGGAGGGUGCAAGCGUUACUCGGAAUCACUGGGCGUAAAGAGCGUGUAGGCGGGUUAAUAAGUUGGAUGUGAAAUCCUAUGGCUCAACCAUAGAACUGCAUCCAAAACUGUUAACCUAGAGUAUGGGAGAGGUAGAUGGAAUUUCUGGUGUAGGGGUAAAAUCCGUAGAGAUCAGAAGGAAUACCGAUUGCGAAGGCGAUCUACUGGAACAUUACUGACGCUGAGACGCGAAAGCGUGGGGAGCAAACAGGAUUAGAUACCCGAGUAGUC